rnacentral:rRNA from 1 species
UACGGAGGGUGCGAGCGUUAAUCGGAAUUACUGGGCGUAAAGCGCGCGUAGGUGGCUGGGUAAGUCGGAUGUGAAAGCCCCGGGCUUAACCUGGGAACUGCAUUCGAUACUGCCCGACUAGAGUAUGGUAGAGGAAAGCGGAAUUCCCGGUGUAGCGGUGAAAUGCGUAGAUAUCGGGAGGAACAUCAGUGGCGAAGGCGGCUUUCUGGACCAAUACUGACGCUGAGGCGCGAAAGCGUGGGUAGCAAACAGG